rnacentral:rRNA from 1 species
AUUGAACGCUGGCGGCAUGCCUUACACAUGCAAGUCGAACGGCAGCACGGGUGCUUGCACCUGGUGGCGAGUGGCGAACGGGUGAGUAAUACAUCGGAACAUGUCCUGUAGUGGGGGAUAGCCCGGCGAAAGCCGGAUUAAUACCGCAUACGAUCUACGGAUGAAAGCGGGGGACCUUCGGGCCUCGCGCUAUAGGGUUGGCCGAUGGCUGAUUAGCUAGUUGGUGGGGUAAAGGCCUACCAAGGCGACGAUCAGUAGCUGGUCUGAGAGGACGACCAGCCACACUGGGACUGAGACACGGCCCAGACUCCUACGGGAGGCAGCAGUGGGGAAUUUUGGACAAUGGGCGAAAGCCUGAUCCAGCAAUGCCGCGUGUGCGAAGCAGGCCUUCGGGUUGUAAAGCACUUUUGUCCGGAAAGAAAUCCUUGGCCCUAAUACGGUCGGGGGAUGACGGUACCGGAAGAAUAAGCACCGGCUAACUACGUG